rfam:Mesocricetus auratus contig210842, whole genome shotgun sequence.
GGUAAAUUUUGGCAUAUACUGCCUGAAUUUACUGCUGAACUCUAUUCACACUUUAGCUCUAGAAUUUUGCUGGAACACU